UACAGAGGGUGCUAGCGUUGUUCGGAAUCAUUGGGCGUAAAGGGCGUGUAGGCGGUUUGUUAAGUCAUGUGUGAAAUCCCUCGGCUCAACCGGGGAACGACGCAUGAAACUGGCAAGCUAGAGUACCAAAGAGGGGGGUGGAAUUCCCGGUGUAGCGGUGAAAUGCGUAGAUAUCGGGAGGAAUACCGGUGGCGAAAGCGACUCUCUGGACGGCAACUGACGCUGAGGCACGAAAGCGUGGGGAGCAAACAGG
rnacentral:rRNA from 1 species